UACGUAGGGGGCUAGCGUUGUCCGGAAUCAUUGGGCGUAAAGCGCGUGUAGGCGGUCCGGUAAGUCCGCUGUGAAAGUCGGGGGCUCAACCCUCGGAUGCCGGUGGAUACUGCCGCGGCUGGAGCACUGUAGAGGCAGGCGGAAUUCCGGGUGUAGCGGUGGAAUGCGUAGAGAUCCACAGGAACUCCGGUGGCGAAGGCGGCGUGCUGGACCCGAUCUGACGCUGAGGCGCGAAAGCCAGGGGAGCGAACGGG
rnacentral:rRNA from 1 species